rnacentral:tRNA from 1 species
GCCUUCGUAGUGUAGUGGUCAGCAGACUCGGCGCGUAACCGAGAAGUCCGUAGUUCGAUUCCCGGCGAAAACG